rnacentral:lncRNA from 13 species
GCGUUGAAAUUAUUUACAACUUGCGACUGGCAACUAGCCACUCACGAUUUGCAACUACGCUUUACAACUCAUUAUAGAUAAGCCUUAAGCGCUAGUAAUAGCCUUAAAAAUCUUAAAAAAUUCUCAGAUUUUCCAUGAUUAGAAAACUGGACGUGAUGGAGCGAAACGGUUUACGAAUUUGUAUUCAGCGACCCAAAAUCUAUAAGAAACACCUACUCUGGUUUGAGAUAACUCUCAAAAAUGUUCUCUGUUAUUUAAAUGUUGCUGACAUACUUCAAUGUAACAUUGCAAAAACAUAUAUUACAUUACAGAAAUGGUAAAAUGUCCAUUUUUAGAAAUAUUGCAAUAUAAUAUUACAAUAAAAUGUAUGUUUUACUUUUAUAAUAGCAUAAUAAUAACUUUUAUAAUAAUAGCAUGAUAAUUAAUGUUUUUACUUUAAACGAACAAUUUGUGGGAAAUGCAUACAAGUAAUAAAAAUAGAGGAAAUAAAUUUAUAAUGUACUAUAAAUAAUGUAUUAUAUAGAGUCUUGUUUUAACUCAUUAGACACCAAAAUAUUUUGAAAAAAAAAA